GCAAAUUACCCAUUUCCCGACGCGGGGAGGUAGUGACGAAAUAUAACAAUGCAGGACUCGUUCGAGGCCCUGUAAUUGGAAUGAGUACACUUUAAAAGCUUUAACGAGUAUCCAUUGGAGGGCAAGUCUGGUGCCAGCAGCCGCGGUAAUUCCAGCUCCAAAAGUAUAUAUUUAAGUUGUUGCGGUUAAAAAGCUCGUAGUUGGAUUUUGGGCGCAGGCGGCCGGUCCGUCGCAAGGCGUGUACUGGACGUCCUGGCCUUCCCUCCGGUUCUCCGCCGGUGCUCUUGACUGAGUGUCGGCGGCGGCCGGAACGUUUACUUUGAAAAAAUUAGAGUGUUCAAAGCAGGCUCUCGAGCCUGGAUAAUGGUGCAUGGAAUAAUGGAAUAGGACCUCGGUUCUAUUUUGUUGGUUUUCGGAGCGCGAGGUAAUGAUUAAGAGGGACAGACGGGGGCAUUCGUACUGUGCCGUUAGAGGUGAAAUUCUUGGAUCGGCGCAAGACGAACGACUGCGAAAGCAUUUGCCAAGAAUGUUUUCUUUAAUCAAGAGCGAAAGUCAGAGGUUCGAAGACGAUCAGAUACCGUCCUAGUUCUGACUAUAAACGAUGCCAACUAGCGAUCGGGGGGCGUUACAUUGACGACCCCUCCGGCAGCUUACGGGAAACCAAAGUCUUUGGGUUCCGGGGGAAGUAUGGUUGCAAAGCUGAAACUUAAAGAAU
rnacentral:ncRNA from 1 species